GACGAACGCUGGCGGCGUGCUUAACACAUGCAAGUCGAACGGAAAGGCCCUGCUUUUGUGGGUUUCUCGAGUGGCGAACGGGUGAGUAACACGUGAGUAACCUGCCCUUGACUUUGGGAUAACUUCAGGAAACUGGGGCUAAUACCGGAUAGGAGCUCCUGCUGCAUGGUGGGCGUUGGAAAGUUUCGGCGGUUGGGGCUGGACUCGCGGCUUAUCCGCUUGUUGGUGGAGUAGUGGCUUACCAAGGCUUUGACGGGUAGCCUGCCUGAGAGGGUGACCGGCCACAAUGGGACUGAGGUACGGACCAGAAGCCAACGGGAGGCAGCAGUGGGAAGUAUUGCACAAUGGGCGGAAGCCUGAUGCAGCAACGCCGCGUGCGGGAUGACGGCCUUCGGGUUGUAAACCGCUUUCGCCUGUGACGAAGCGUGAGUGACGGUAAUGGGUAAAGAAGCACCGGCUAACUACGUG
rnacentral:rRNA from 1 species